AUGGCUUUAUCCGGUUCCACGACGAGGCCACGGUGCGCUGACCAAGCGGACAUGCCGAACAAGUGGGAGGAGGCAAGGUUGGACAAGACAAAGGAGAAGGAUGUGAAAACCCCUUCAUGUUGGUGUGCAGAUGAGUGCAAGGUGAAGGUCUCCACUGACCGGAAGAAGUCGUGGACGGAAGGAAGAAGAUAUUUUGUGUGUCCCAACUAUGCACAUGAUCGCGCGCGUCCCACUAACGCCUAUGACAUCCCACCGGUAUGUUAG
rnacentral:rRNA from 1 species